GCCCCAGUGGCGCAAUCGGUUAGCGCGCGGUACUUAUAAUGCCGAGGUUGUGAGUUCGAUCCUCACCUGGGGCA